rnacentral:rRNA from 1 species
UACGGAGGGUGCAAGCGUUAUCCGGAUUCACUGGGUUUAAAGGGUGCGUAGGUGGGCUGGUAAGUCAGUGGUGAAAUCUCCAGGCUUAACUUGGAAACUGCCAUUGAUACUAUCAGUCUUGAAUACCGUGGAGGUCAGCGGAAUAUGUCAUGUAGCGGUGAAAUGCUUAGAUAUGACAUAGAACACCAAUUGCGAAGGCAGCUCGCUACGCGGUUAUUGACACUGAGGCACGAAAGCGUGGGGAUCAAACAGG